ACCUGAUGAGGGCCAGGGAUGGUAGG
rnacentral:piRNA from 1 species